CAGGAGGAGGACAGGUGGCUCUGAUGGCCUCAUCAGGUGUGCCAGAUCCCACUUAUGAGCAUGUGGUCUCAGCUCAUAGGGAGGGAAUAUAUAGGGACAGGAAAGAAGCAGUUUUAUUCUGGUGCGAUCUUACUGUGCUGUGAGUGAGAGGUGGGUGCAGAGCCGUGGAGAAAAGCGUGUUGGAGAAUGCAGCAGAGGCCCUGGGUCCCAGGGUGAGACAUGAUACUAAGAUGCAAGGCCCAGCAGAAGACAACUCAAGCUUGGUGGUUCUCCAGUGAAAAAUAUGGAUACGAAGAUGAUCUCACAUCACUUGUGAUUUCUGGCAGAUUUGAUCAAUGCUUGGAGAGUUUGGGCUACUGAUUUAGCUUUUACCUUGGGAAAGUGAAAGAAGGUGCAGGUCUAAAUCACUGCACAAUUGCAUCUGCUGGAUUUCCUGCAAUGGCUCUGAGCUCCUUUGGAGUCCUGGUCUAGGCAGGCAAACAAGGGAAGCGGAGGCCUUUGUGAGCUCUCAUGACGAUGAGCAGAACAGCCAGGGCAUCCGCAUGCACAUGGCUGGUACUUCUCAGACCCUGCAGCCGAGUCCUGUUGCCCCUGCUGUGUUCUUGGAAGUCCCUUCUCUAAACCAGGAGGAGGGAAAGGUGCUCUCAGUGCUUCAGCUCCCAGGCUGCCUUUAGUGCAUGUAAUUAGUGAGGAACAAAGGAAAGUCAGUUUACGUCUUCUCCAUCGCUUCUUCCAUCUGUCCUUAUCUGCCCUUAUAUCGUGAGGGAGACUGAAGGUUGCUCUCAGGACCCAUCAACUCCAUGAAGCUGAGUCAUGUAUCGUACGCAGUGUGUUGUUGCAAGUUGGAUCUGACGUGCUCCUUGAGCAGCUGUAGUCCCUGGUGGCGUGUUGCAGUAAUUUCUUUAUGUGUUCAGGAGGUGUUCCAGUGAAACUGAACCUCUGCAUCAUGCUCAAGAGGUAAAGCACAGGGACCUGGCUGUGCUAGGGGACAGUAUUGAGAGGCUGGCUCACAGGCCAGUGAGUGGGUGGGGAGCUGAGUGACCGCUAUUCAGGUUUCAUGAACUAAAGCUUGCUUGUGAGUGAGAGCUGUGUGAUCACUGAAUUAAAUCCCUUGGUGUCUGGAGUCUCCUGGCAAGAGCUCAGUAGGUCCUGGGCUGUGCAGCCUGGCUUGAGAGGGAGGAGGAAUGUUGGGGGGUUAUGAUGAGACUUGUAAGCAUCGCAGCCCUAUCCAUGGACAAUCUCACUUCACUUUGUGUAUUGUCGUUGUCCUUUCCAACAGCUGCAUCUUUCAAAACUGGAAGAUCAGUAUUUUUCUCUUCAUUUUGAGUUUUGAUAUUAUUUUUUUUCAUUUAAGGAGAAAUAAAAUCAAAAUAAGUGAUUAUCUGGCAUUAGUAUGCUUCCACUAACUGCUGCUGUCCACGUUUCUAAGAACUGUAAUGCAAAUCCCCUGCUAGCAAGAAGAAUUCGUUGUUCCCCACUGUUUGUUCUUUGAUCCGUAUUAGGGCUGAUGUGUGAAACAAAGGAAGGAGGAAUGUUUGAUUUCUCUUAAACUUGGGCGACCCUACAAAAGAGACAGUAGAAACAAGGUCUUUGCUAAUAAACUGAGCAGAAGUGAUGUAAAUACUUCUGAACAUCAGAUUCUAGAUAGUGAUCAAGCAAACUGAACACAGUGGCUGUUUGUUCUUUGAUGUUUGAGGUGGGAAAAGCCAACGUUUGACAUCACGUUGAAAAAAUACUGCCCUGUUUCUUGUCCCUGAUAGCAGGUGGUGCAGGAACUCGACCUUCAAACCGUUUUGUCACCUUCUGUUCUUCCCAUAAACCAGUUUUUUGUGGCGUUCUGCCUUGAUGUGAUUAAACUACAGCUUCAUUCACUUAUUUUGUUUCCCGUGAAACAGAGCAGCACAAGGAUGGCAGAAAACAGCUGUGUGAGGCUGUAGCGUAGAACUGAUCGUAUCACAGGAUGUCUCAUCUUCCUGAACACGGGUGAAGAUCUGAAUCUCAAGUGUCAUUCAGCACCCACCCUCACCCCGCUUCCAGAAACUUAUAGCAGGUCUAUUUUCUCUAGUACUUCCGUCUCCCAGCAUAUGGCACACAUUUCUUGCUCAGCUCUCCUCCAUCCCCAGCAUUUCUGGCUGCUGUGAGGAUGCCGGGUCUCAGCAGAGUGCGUUGGCUUUGCAGCAGCUGCAAUCCAGUUUUCUGCUCUUGCUCUCUGCUGUACUGAGGGAGAGUGGCAAAGGUGAUGGUCUGGGGACUGCUACUUAGACACCAAGCAGAGGCCAAUAACAAAGAUGCAUUUAUAGUUAUUUUUAUGCAGUGCUGUGGCCGAUACAAAUUUCUGAAGUCUGUACAGUGCUUUUCACCCAGGGUAAUUGAUGUACAGGCUCUGUCAGACCUUUCAAAUCAGCAGUGCCUCGGGCUUGGUGGUGCUGUCUCUUCCCUUUACCCCUAGCUUUUCUCAGUCUCAUGCAGUUCAAUACUUGCAUCUCCCUCAUUUCUGCUGUGCCGUUUGGCUCCAGUUGUGCUAAAGCCCAGAGGCCAAUCCAUUAUGAAAAUCAGCUAGUAGCAGCAGCAGGCACCAUUAGCUAAAGAGCAGCUUUCUGCCACAGGGAAACAUCCCUAUGUCACACAGUCCUGGAAGGGAGUGGUCAUGCAGCUUCCUCUGAGCCUCUGUUGGCCAUCAGGGAAGGAGAUGAUACAAGAUGUGUGCCCUCUUCAUUGCACCUGUCCUGUUGUUUAGGAGAGAGAUCGCUCCCUCUGCAGGUAGGCAGUGUUGCUUUUGCAACGUGGAAGUCAAUUUUCUGGUAGUCAAUCAGAUUUUGAUUGAGUGCUUUUCAGGUCAUGAGAUGUAAUUCUAAUAGCAGCCAAUUAUCUGUUUUAAAAGAUGCCUCUUAAAAAGGACCUCUUCUCAAAAGGCUUUGAAGAUCUCUAAGCUCCUAACAGGCUGCAUUCUUUUAGUAAAAUGAAAGCAGAAUUCCCUAUUGCCUCCCACCCAGAGGAGAUGAAGGGGAGAUGCCCAUGAAGAUGAACUCUGCCUCCUCUUUGGGAGCAUGGUGAAGGACUGCACAGAGCUGGCACUGCUGGGGCACCCCCUGCACUGGACACAGUUGUGAAUUGAGGAUGAGUAUCACUGAUAAAAUGGAGGUCAACAACUGAACGGCAUCUCGUGGAAAAGAUUCGGAGGUGACCUCAAAACCAAACCUGUCUGAAGGUUUUCGUGGGGCUGGAAUCAGUGGAUGCUGAAGUAGCUCUUAGCUGUGCCAGGAGGCCUCUUAGCGACCAGCACUUAUACAGGCUCACACAUCUCCCACAUCGAAAUCGGCAUUCUUGGAUCCGCUGAGUUUUGAUCCACAGUGAGAUAAGGCCUAAGGGAACUCUCUCUGGAGUGUAUUUCAUUUUGUUCUCUGAAUCAAGAGACGGAGCCCAAAGCAAGACCUGUGGAUGUGAAGAAAUGGGCUCUGAAAGCGCCUGUCCCGCACGUCCCUGCUGUUUGAGACACGGUGAAGCCUGUGCUGGUGGCAGUCACAAGAAGAGCUGUCUGUGCUCAGGUGGCUUCCAGGGCUGUCUGUGCUCAGGGAAAGGAAACAUCCUCCAUUGUUUCUCCCCUAUAUUUGACUGAAAUGAAGCUGCCCGCCUGCACAGCGGUACCCACCUCUGAAUAGUUUGCUAUUCUGGGCCCUGUGCAAUUUGGAGACUGACACCUUAACUGUUGGAGCACCAACCACUUCACAGAGCUCUCCCAGGCACUGCAGUCCCUGCUUCCUGCAUGGAAAGCAUCACCGAUACCAAGCAAGUGGAGAGGGCGGCCUUUCAUAGGAUCAUAGCCUUCAGGACUCUGGGGUGCCACAACUCCUGUUUGAAACAUAUAAUUGCUGUGGCAUUCAGUGCAACUGACGACAGGGAAGCUCGAACCUGGCAACUGCUACCUUAAAAAGUAAUAGAAGAAGGAAGCAAAAACCCCUGGGGAAGCUGUGCAUACAUAGCAAAGGAGGAGCAAUGGGCUUGCAUUGGUAAACUGCUCCAUAGGGCACCCAUUCAGUGCUAUAAAGAAGGUAUCCAGGCUGUGUGUUUCCCAGCUCCUGCAGCGGUAGGAUGGACCAUGAGUGUGCAUAGGAAGGUGCGUGAAGGCAGGCUAUGCUUUCCUGGGCCAGUUCUCUCCCUCUGAGGCUGCUCCGUGCAGAGCCAGCAGUGUGUGCAGCACUGACCAACGUGGUAUUUGAGAGCUUGAGAUCUCACCGUCUACUUUCUCUUUUCAAUUGCCCUCCCACUGUUGUUCUACAGCAUGCGGUGCCUUCAGCCAUGGUUCAGCUGCCAAAGAAGGUGGGGGAGUGCUGUGCUCCCCAGCUCCAUGCGGACCGGGAGAGAGGCAGAGAAACAGAGGAGGCAGGUGCUAUUCUGCAGGUAAUGAAAGCGAUCAGCUGGCUGGCCAUGCAGCACAGCCCUCCUGCCCUCCCCAGUCCUGCUCCCUGCCUUGCCAGGAGCGCACUUGGGUAGAAAGGUCUGAAAAAUCAGGACAGCUUCUAUUCUAUGGGAACAAAAGGUUUCCUUUGUUGUAAUUCCUCUGUUGGGCUCUGCACGAGGCCCUCGCAUGGGGCCCUGCAGCACGUGCCCUGCAUCAUGGGGACAAAAGCAGAUUACUGCAGGGAUGCCUGAAAAGGAGCCAUGACUUGUUCCCUUGUUGCUACAAUCUUGUUUACAGGCUGAGCUUCGCAGGGAGCAAUUCACACAGGUUUCUUUUGCAUUAUAAUAGUAAAGAUUUUUCUUGGUGGGAGAAAAAAAGAGGAGAGCGGGUGAGGUGAGGAUUUAUCACAGAGCCUUGCCUGAAAUGAUUUAGGCUGUUAAGACCAUUUAUGCUGAAGGAAGUGAUCAGUUUCUGCUUCCCAAACGUCGUCUCCCAGUGCCGUGGGCCUGAUUCAGCAGGGCAGCUCCAUGUGAAGAGAAACGAAGUUGAUGAAGUAUUAGGAGGAGAUGACGGCAGCUAAAGGGGAGUUCAGUGGUUGUCCUUCACUUUUGUCUUCUGUCUUUUCAAGCUUAAGGCAGCAACUUCCAAAAUUCUUCGUGAGCCAAUCAGAGCACUGAUGGAGGGAACACCUUCAGCCACUGCACCUUAACAGCCACCUCGAGUGGCCCUGUGCUGGGUUUUUAAUCAUAUGAUGGCUUUUAAUUGAUGCUUUCUGUAAUAAACGAGGGGCUGCUGUGUUUUCACUGGGUUAUUCACUUGCUUCUGUAGUAGCUUUCAGUUGCAUGAUGCACAAACGGAGUGCAGCCUUCAGAAGUGACCUGUGGGACUUGAGGGCUGAUCCACUGCUACUGAAACGGUAGGACCAAAUUCUGCUGCCUGCUGGAUGCUGGGCCUCAAAGCAGGGAUGCAGAGAGGUGUAGAAAGCAGCAGUGCUCCCUGCUGAGCUCUGUGCAUGGGGCUGCUGCUCAUGGCUGGUGGGACAAAGCACUGCAGUGCAGACUGUGCUGCUGAACGCCAACAUAGGCUGAGCACUGGGGGGGCUGCAGCUCCUUUGAGGGCAGGUAGAGGACUUCCAUUUUAUUUUACUUUCCUUUCCCCUUUCCCCUCCUUUCCUUUUUCCUUUCCGUUUUCCUUUCCCCUCCUUUCCUUUUUCCUUUCCCCUCCUUUCUUUUCCCCUUUCCCCUCCUGUCCUUUUUCCUUUCCCCUUUCCCCUCCUGUCCUUUUUCCUUUCCUUUUUCCUUUCCCUUUCCCCUACUGUCCUUUUUCCUUUCCAUUCCCCUUUCCCUUUCCCCUCCUGUCCUUUUUCCUUUUUCCUUUUCUUUUCCCUUUUCUUUUCCCUUUCCUUUUUCCCUUCCCCUUUCCCCUCCUGUCCUUUUCCUUUUUCCCUUCCCCUUUCCCCUCCUGUCCUUUUCCUUUUUCCUUUUCCCUUUCCUUUUUCCCUUCCCCUUUCCCCUUUCCACUCCUGUCCUUUUCCUUUUUCCCUUUCCUUUUUCCCUUUCCCUUUCCCCUCCUGUCCUUUUCCUUUUUCCCUUUCCUUUUUCCUUUUCUUUUUCCUUUCUUUUCCCCUUUCCCCCCCUGUCCUUUUUCCUUUUUCCUUUUCCCUUUCCUUGUUCCCUUUCCCCUUUUUACUUUCCCCUUUUUUCUUUCCCCUUUUUCCUUUUCCUUGUCUUUUUCCUUUUCUUUUUCCUUUCCCCUUUCCCAUCCUGUCCUCUUUUCCUUUUUCCUUUUCCUUUUCUUUUUCCUUUCCCCUUUCCCCUCCUGUCCCAUUCCUUUUUCCCGUUCCUUUUUCCUUUUCUUUUCCCUUUCC
ensembl:lncRNA